AGCAGCCGCGGUAAUUCCAGCUCCAAUAGCGUAUAUUAAAGUUGUUGCAGUUAAAAAGCUCGUAGUUGAAUUUCGGGAUCAGUAAGCCGGUCGUACCUUCGGUAUGUACUGGUGUCACUGAUUCCUCCCUUCUGAUGAACCGUUAUACCAUUUAGUUGGUGUGGCGGGGAAUCAGGACUGUUACUUUGAAAAAAUUAGAGUGUUUAAAGCAAGCUCGCGCUUGAAUACAUUAGCAUGGAAUAAUAAAAUAGGACGUUUGAUCUCCUAUUUUGUUGGUUUUCUAGGAUCGACGUAAUGAUUAAUAGGGAUAGUUGGGGGCAUUAGUAUUCAAUUG
rnacentral:rRNA from 1 species